rnacentral:lncRNA from 1 species
UGCUUAAGUUAAUUUAUUGUACCUAUUGUAAUAAGACGUAUAUGUAUAAUUUAUAUACGCAUCAACAUAGUGUUAAAUAUAUACGUGCAAGAAUGUUUUUAGAAAAAAAAAAAAAUUGAAAGCAGCAUACUAACAUUAAAGGAAAGCACAACCAUGUCACUAUCAACUGAACAGCUUAACUGUUUACUACGUACUCAAAACUUAAAUGGUAUAAUUUAUUUUAUUUAUAUAAUUUGGGUUCGCUAUUUUUUUUUAUUCAUUACUUUUUUUUUUUAUUUUAUACUAUUUAUACGUGAGUUUUUAAUUGAUGUCCAUAUGUGAUAUAUACAUAUAUGUAUGUAUGUAUGUAUGUAUGUACGUACGUAUGUAUGUGUGUAAUUUGUUUUAUCGGUUUAUUCUUUCGCUAUAAUAUUUGAAUAGAUAUGAAUAGAAUUAUAACCAACAUAUUGAAGAUACCCCUUCACAGUUCCUGUUUAAAUAAAAUAUGUAAGACGACAAAAUUAACCUUAAUAUUAAUUUGUAUAUGUAGCAAUUUUUUAAAAUAUUUUAAAUUAGAUUCAUGUGCAUAUGAUAUAUAUAACAAGGUAAAUACAAACAAAUGGAUGAAUGCGCCUAUAAAGGGACAUAUGUUGGAAAGAGUAAGAGCGCCUCAUUGUUUUUUUAUGUGCUUAGAUGAAAUAAUAAUAACAGAAUUAGUUAAAUUCUUGAAUUAUUUUUGUAACAUUAAAUUGUUCAACGUCAAAACUGAUUCUUUCAGUGUAUUACUUACUCAAAAAUAUGAUAUAUUAGUUAUAAAUAUGGAUAAUUUAAACACUCCUCAAAUUAAUACAUUAGUAGAAUUAAUGAAAAAUGGAGUAUAUAAAAAUAAAAAAUCAUCAUUUCCAAUAUCGAUUACCUUUUGGGUAUAUAUCGUUAAACCAUAUAUAAGAAGCGACGAAGAACUUGACAAGUAUGUACAAAAUAAUUUAUUAGCUCGUUUUGAUUUUUUGUUUGAGCUUAGUUUUGAAAAAGAUGAUGACGAUGAUGUGAUUGAUGAAAUAUUAAGAAAUGCUGAUGAUGAUAACGAUAAUUAUAAUGAAAUAAAAAAUAAAAUUUUUUUUUCUGAAUUGAUUGAUAAGUAUGCUUACUUAAAAAAAGGGAAUUUAUAUAAUUAUGAAUUUGUUGAAAUGAGUAAUACAACAAAAGCUAUAAUUCAAAAGUAUUUUAAUAUGGCUUCCGAUUCAACAACUUUAACUAUUUACCAUAUAGGCAUUUGUGAGUUAUUAUGUAUAAGUGUGUCCAUUUUAUUAGGAAAAAAGGAAUGCUUAAUAGAACAUGCUGUUUUAGGGAUGUUUUUAUAUGACAACUUUGUAUCAGCUACAAAAAACAAAUUAACUCAAUUCAAAAAAGAAUUUUUAAAUAGUAUACUGAACUGUUUAGAUACUAAAUAUAAUUCGUUACAAAAAUUAAUGAAUUAUUUUUCGACUUAUUUAAAUGCUAAAAAAGAUACGUAACAACAAAAUAAAUUAAUAUUUCAUUACUAAAAUAUUAUUUUA